rnacentral:rRNA from 1 species
GAUGAACGCUGACAGAAUGCUUAACACAUGCAAGUCUUUGGCGAAGCUGUGCUUGCACCGCCUAGCCAAGGCGGACGGGUGAGUAACGCGUAAGGAACUUGCCCUGCAGUCAGGGAUAACAGACGGAAACGACUGAUAAGACCUGGUAAAGUCAGGCGGACCCAUGUCCAGCCUGAUGAAAAGUGAUGCUGCAGGAGAGCCUUGCGUCCUAUUAGCUUGUUGGUGGGGUAACGGCCCACCAAGGCGAUGAUAGGUAGCCGGCCUGAGAGGGUGGACGGCCACAAGGGGACUGAGAUACGGCCCUUACUCCUACGGGAGGCAGCAGUGGGGAAUAUUGGACAAUGGGGGCAACCCUGAUCCAGCAAUUCUGUGUGCACGAUGAAGGUUUUCGGAUUGUAAAGUGCUUUCAGCAGGGAAGAAAAAAAUGACGGUACCUGCAGAAGAAGCGACGGCUAAAUACGUG